GCCCACGUUGUCUAGUGGUCAAGGAUGUUUCCUUUUCACGGAAAAAAAAAGGAUUCAAAUCUUUCUAGAGGUU
rnacentral:tRNA from 1 species